AAAAAGACAAACUAUUGUUUUCGUGCCCAACAUUUGACCGUCCGUCUUAUUUGAAAAAUUAUGAAAAAAAUUAAAAAGACAAGUCACGUAUAAAAUAUUAAUCAUGUUUUAUCAUAUAACAAUAAUGAAAAUAUGAAUUAUAAAAAAAUUUCAUAUAAGACGGAUAGUCAACACGCAAAUCUAGGGUUUGACUUUUU
rfam:Oryza glumipatula chromosome 2, whole genome shotgun sequence.